UUGUUCGUGUGUCCAGAGAUUGUGUUUGCACGAUUUGUUGCAUUUAAGAGGGAACUGGCCAGGUUCCAUCUCCACUCGAUCUUGUCCUUCGAUGGUGAGCUGCUUGGAAUCCUCUAUAACUUGUGCGGUAAGAGGUGCAGUGGCCCUGUCCUCUCCCACUUAACACCUCGCAUUGCCUCUACUAAAGACACAGUGCAUCUCUUUUUUCCUGGACAAUAGGAUCGGGACUAAAUUCUCUGAGUUACAGCGAUCAGCUGGGACCUCAUGAACUCUUUGAACAUUUGUAGACGUCUUGUGUGUUUGUGUGUUGUUGUAUAUGUAUAUAUUGUAAAUGUCUUUUGGGGUCAACUAUAUAAAUUUUCACUCCUGCACCGUA